rnacentral:rRNA from 1 species
GACGAACGCUGGCGGCGAGCUUAACACAUGCAAGUCGAACGGAAAGGCCCUGCAGCUUGCUGCGGGUACUCGAGUGGCGAACGGGUGAGUAACACGUGGGUGAUCUGCCUUGCACUUCGGGAUAAGCUUGGGAAACUGGGUCUAAUACCGGAUAGGACAGCUGUUUAGUGUCAGUUGUGGAAAGUUUUUUCGGUGCAAGAUGAGCUCGCGGCCUAUCAGCUUGUUGGUGGGGUAAUGGCCUACCAAGGCGUCGACGGGUAGCCGGCCUGAGAGGGUGUACGGCCACAUUGGGACUGAGAUACGGCCCAGACUCCUACGGGAGGCAGCAGUGGGGAAUAUUGCACAAUGGGCGGAAGCCUGAUGCAGCGACGCCGCGUGGGGGAUGAAGGCCUUCGGGUUGUAAACUCCUUUCGACAGGGACGAAGCGUAAGUGACGGUACCUGUAUAAGAAGCACCAGCUAACUACGUGCCAGCAGCCGCGGUAAUACGUAGGGUGCGAGCGUUGUCCGGAAUUACUGGGCGUAAAGAGCUCGUAGGUGGUUUGUCGCGUCGUCUGUGAAAUUCCGGGGCUUAACUCCGGGCGUGCAGGCGAUACGGGCUGACUUGAGUGCUGUAGGGGAGACUGGAAUUCCUGGUGUAGCGGUGAAAUGCGCAGAUAUCAGGAGGAACACCGAUGGCGAAGGCAGGUCUCUGGGCAGUAACUGACGCUGAGGAGCGAAAGCAUGGGUAGCGAACAGGAUUAGAUACCCUGGUAGUCCAUGCCGUAAACGGUGGGCGCUAGGUGUAGGGGGCUUCCACGUCUUCUGUGUCGUAGCUAACGCAUU